rnacentral:lncRNA from 1 species
AUGUGUGGUGUGUGUACAGUAUGUGUGGUGUGUGGGUGUGUACAGUAUGUGUGGUGUGUGUACAGUAUGUGUGGGUGUGUACAGUAUGUGUGGUGUUUGGGUGUGUACAGUAUAUGUGGUGUGUGUACAGUAUGUGUGGUGUGUGGGUGUGUGUACAGUAUGUGUGGUGUGUGUACAGUAUGUGUGGUGUGUGGGUGUGUACAGUAUGUGUGGUGUGUGUACAGUAUGUGUGGUGUGUGGGUGUGUACAGUAUGUGUGGUGUGUGGGUGUGUACAGUAUAUGUGGUGUGUGUACAGUAUAUGUGGUGUGUGGGUGUGUACAGUAUGUGUGGUGUGUGUACAGUAUGUGUGGUGUGUGGGUGUGUACAGUAUGUGUGGGGUGUGGGUGUGUACAGUAUGUGUGGUGUGUGUACAGUAUGUGUGGUGUGUGGGUGUGUACAGUAUGUGUGGUGUGUGGGUGUGUACAGUAUGUGUGGUGUGUGGACAGUAUGUGUGGUGUGUGGGUGUGUACAGUAUGUGUGGUGUGUGGACAGUAUGUGUGGUGUGUGGGUGUGUACAGUAUGUGUGGUGUGUGUACAGUAUGUGUGGUGUGUGGGUGUGUACAGUAUGUGUGGUGUGUGGGUGUGUACAGUAUAUGUGGUGUGUGGGUGUGUACAGUAUGUGUGGUGUGUGGACAGUAUGUGUGGUGUGUGGGUGUGUACAGUAUGUGUGGUGUGUGUACAGUAUGUGUGGUGUGUGUACAGUAUGUGUGGUGUGUGGGUGUGUACAGUAUGUGUGGUGUGUGGGUGUGUACAGUAUAUGUGGUGUGUGGGUGUGUACAGUAUAUGUGGUGUGUGUACAGUAUGUGUGGUGUGUGGGUGUGUACAGUAUGUGUGGUGUGUGUACAGUAUGUGUGGUGUGUGUACAGUAUGUGUGGUGUGUGGGUGUGUACAGUAUGUGUGGUGUUUGGGUGUGUACAGUAUAUGUGGUGUGUGUACAGUAUGUGUGGUGUGUGGGUGUGUACAGUAUGUGUGGUGUGUGUACAGUAUGUGUGGUGUGUGGGUGUGUACAGUAUGUGUGGGUGUGUACAUUAUGUGUGGUGUGUGGUGUGUGUACAGUAUGUGUGGUGUGUGUACAGUAUGUGUGGUGUGUGGGUGUGUACAGUAUGUGUAGUGUGUGGGUGUGUACAGUAUAUGUGGUGUGUGUACAGUAUGUGUGGUGUGUGUGUACAGUAUGUGUGGUGUGUGGGUGUGUACAGUAUGUGAGGUGUGUGUACAGUAUGUGUGGUGUGUGGGUGUGUACAGUAUGUGUGGUGUGUGGGUGUGUACAGUAUGUGUGGUGUGUGUGUGUGUACAGUAUGUGUGGUGUGUGUACAGUAUGUGUGGUGUGUGGGUGUGUACAGUAUGUGUGGUGUUUGGGUGUGUACAGUAUAUGUGGUGUGUGUACAGUAUGUGUGGUGUGUGGGUGUGUGUACAGUAUGUGUGGUGUGUGUACAGUAUGUGUGGUGUGUGUACAGUAUGUGUGGUGUGUGUACAGUAUGUGUGGUGUGUGUACAGUAUGUGUGGUGUGUGGGUGUGUACAGUAUGUGUGGUGUGUGGGUGUGUACAGUAUAUGUGGUGUGUGUACAGUAUGUGUGGUGUGUGGGUGUGUACAGUAUGUGUGGUGUGUGUACAGUAUGUGUGGUGUGUGGGUGUGUACAGUAUGUGUGGUGUGUGGGUGUGUACAGUAUGUGUGGUGUGUGUACAGUAUGUGUGGUGUGUGGGUGUGUACAGUAUGUGUGGUGUGUGGACAGUAUGUGUGGUGUGUGGGUGUGUACAGUAUGUGUGGUGUGUGGGUGUGUACAGUAUGUGUGGUGUGUGGACAGUAG